rnacentral:ncRNA from 1 species
ACUUCAUCAACCGGAAAAGGCUUUACUUAACUGUAGAUUAAUAGGGAAUCGUGUGUAAAUCACGAACUGUCGCGCAACUGUAAGUAACACACCAAAGGUUUUCAUCCACGAGCAUCCACUGCCAAAGGCGGGAAGGACGAUGGACACCGUUACAAGUCAGGAGACCUGCCUUUUUCGAAUUGACAAU